rnacentral:rRNA from 1 species
UACGGAGGGGGCAAGCGUUAUUCGGAAUUAUUGGGCGUAAAGAGCUCGUAGGCGGUUUGUUGCGUCGGCUGUGAAAUCCCGAGGCUCAACCUCGGGUCUGCAGUCGAUACGAGCAAACUAGAGUGUUGCAGGGGAGACUGGAAUUCCUGGUGUAGCGGUGAAAUGCGCAGAUAUCAGGAGGAACACCGGUGGCGAAGGCGGGUCUCUGGGCAACAACUGACGCUGAGGAGCGAAAGCGUGGGGAGCGAACAGG